GUUCCGCAUGGAGCAGCAGCAUUAACGUCGCUUCACUUUAGCGUUUGAUACACGCGAAAAAACACAAACAAGUCACCGUACUGUGUCGUACACGACACCAGCAAGAACAUACAGGGUGGAGCAUGAUGGCUCAGACGGCUGCCUUGCUGUGGCGACAAGUGAGACCGUUGCAGACCGGGAGACUAGCGGCGGCGGCUACAACUCCACUCCGCCUGCGGUCCGGACACCGGCGGGGGAUGACGACAGCUGCGGAGACGACAAAAGAUGAGGAGAGGUUCCACUGGAAGGACCUACCCUGGCAGGCCAUCUCUAUAGGUGUAGGAAUCGGAACCUUGUUGUACAAGACCCGCAAGAGCGAAGAGUUGGAGCUUCGCAGGAACAACCUGGCGUACGUCAACAGCCAACUCUCCCAGCUGUACGGUCCUCUGUACGGCAACAGGCUGGCCAAUCACAGGAGCUACAAGGAGGCUCUCCAGGGUCACGACAACCUGGUGAAAUUUCUCCGGGAAGCCGAGAGAAAAUGGCGGGACCCGGAGACAACGGAUGAAGGGGUACGGUUGUUGACGAGAUGGCGCAAGUUUCUGUUUUACGUCAUGCAUCCGCUGGAUCUGAAGGCUGAGGAAAUCAUACGUGACAACGCACAUCUGUUUGAACACGGAGUUGAGGAGGCCGACCUCUUUCGGAAGUUCGUCUUCCACGUCAACUACGAGAAGAUGAUCGUGGCCAACUGGCAGGAGAAGGGGGAGGUCCUCGGGAGCAAGGAAGUCUUCGAGGAGAGGGAUUUCUCCCGAGAAACCAACGCUGGGAAGUCUGACCUGGAGACUUUUGACAUGUUUGGUCAAGUCGUUAAACAUGUGAAGGAAACGUACGAAAAACUCGUGGAAAGAAAAAAGUCUCUGAUGCGAGAAAUAGAGGAAAGGGGCGGGCACUAAGUUGAAGAUCACUGCAUGAGAACUUGGUUUACAGGUGGCUUUAAAGUGGUGUGGGUUUGGUCCCCGUUGCAGCUUGUUCUGGAACUGCAGGGGACUUUCUGGUGAAUUCUUUUAAAGCCUAUAACGUUAAGUCCAGAUAGGCACAACUUAUUUUCAUUUUUGGUAUGUAAGUAGCUGAAAGAGAAAUGUACAUAAUUAGAUGCAAAUUAUGCAAAUGACAACUUAAUUUGCAUAAGUAAGGAGAGAUCUAGAAUUCUAUAAGGUCUCGGACCGGAGUUUCUUUACGUAUUCGUAGCAAUUUGACACCCUCAGACCGACGGGCUGUCAUUUCUUCGGCAUAAAGGCAGGUCGGAAGGGCACCUACCUUUCAACUCUUCCGGUUGAAAAGGGUGCUGUGCCGCUUAUCACUAGACUUGAUUGAUAUUUUGUGCGCACAAUUUAUUUAGGGGUGAAUAAGGCUUAGAAAAGUACAUUUUUAAGUAAGGGGUCAUUUUUUCGUCAUUUUU